GAUGAACGCUGGCGGCGUGCCUAAUACAUGCAAGUCGAGCGAACAGAUAAGGAGCUUGCUCCUUUGACGUUAGCGGCGGACGGGUGAGUAACACGUGGAUAACCUACCUAUAAGACUGGGAUAACUUCGGGAAACCGGAGCUAAUACCGGAUAACAUAUUGAACCGCAUGGUUCAAUAGUGAAAGGCGGCUUUGCUGUCACUUAUAGAUGGAUCCGCGCCGUAUUAGCUAGUUGGUAAGGUAACGGCUUACCAAGGCAACGAUACGUAGCCGACCUGAGAGGGUGAUCGGCCACACUGGAACUGAGACACGGUCCAGACUCCUACGGAAGGCAGCAGUAGGAAAUCUUCCGCAAUAGGCGGAAGCCUGACAGAGCAACGCCGCGUGAGUGAUAAAGGUCUUCGGAUCGUAAAACUCUGUUAUCAGGGAAGAACAAAUGUGUAAGUAACUGUGCACAUCUUGACGGUACCUGAUCAGAAAGCCACGGCUAACUACGUG
rnacentral:rRNA from 1 species